ACUCCUACGGGAGGCAGCAGUAGGGAAUAUUGCGCAAUGGGAAGGCCAUCGACGCAGCGACGCCGCGUGAGCGAUGAAGGCUUUCGGGUCGUAAAGCUCUGUCGGAAGGGAAGAAAACGUAGUGGUUAAUACCUCUACGAUUGACGGUACCUUCAGAGGAAGCACCGGCUAACUACGUGCCAGCAGCCGCGGUAAUACGUAGGGUGCAAGCGUUGUUCGGAAUUAUUGGGCGUAAAGAGCGUGUAGGUGG
rnacentral:rRNA from 1 species